rnacentral:tRNA from 1 species
GAGAAAUUAGCUCAAUUGGUAGAGCGUUCGUUUUACACACGACAGGUUAGGUGUUCAAAUCACUUAUUUCUUA